UAGGGAAUUUUUCACAAUGGACGAAAGUCUGAUGAAGCAAUAACCGCGUGAGGGAAGACGGUUUUAGGACUGUAAACCUCUGUUAUAAGGGAAGAAUAUGUCGGAGAGGAAAUGCUCCGUGCAGUGACGGUACUUUAUUAGAAAGUCACGGCUAACUAUGUGCCAGCAGCCGCGGUAAUACAUAGGUGGCAAGCGUUAUCCGGAUUUAUUGGGCGUAAAGAGUGCACAGGUGGUUAUAUAAGUUUGAUGUUAAAGACCGAAGCUCAACUUCGGUUCGCAUUGAAAACCGUAUAACUAGAAUGCAGGUGGGAAUAGUGGAAUUCGAUGUGUAGCGGUGGAAUGCAUAAAUAUAUCGAGGAACACCAGUGGCGAAGGCGGCUAUUUGAACUGUAAUUGACACUUAAGCACGAAAGCGUGGGGAGCAAAUAGGAUUAGAUACCCUAGUAGUCCACGCCGUAAACGAUCUAGAUUAGAUGUCGGAAUUAUUCGGUAUCGCAGCUAACGCAUUAAAUCUAGCGCCUGGGUAGUACGCACGCAAGUGUAAAACUCAAAGGAAUUGACGGGGACCCGCACAAGUGGUGGAGCAUGUGGUUUAAUUCGAUGAUACGCGAAAAACCUUACCUACGCUUGACAUACUUGGCAAAACUAUAGAGAUAUAGUCGAGGUUAACCAAUGUACAGGUGGUGCAUGGUUGUCGUCAGCUCGUGUCGUGAGAUGUUUGGUUAAGUCCAGCAACGAGCGCAACCCCUAUCCUAUGUUACCAGCAUUAAGUUGGGGACUCACGGGAGACUGCUAGGGUAACCUAGAGGAAGGUGGGGAUGACGUCAAAUCAUCAUGCCCCUUAUGCGUAGGGCUACACACGUGCUACAAUGGUACAUACAAAGUGCUGCAAACCCGUGAGGGUAAGCGAAUCACAAAAAAUGUAUCUCAGUCCGGAUCGAAGUCUGCAAUUCGACUUCGUGAAGUUGGAAUCACUAGUAAUCGUAGGUCAGCAAUACUACGGUGAAUACGGUUCUCGGGUCUUGCACUCACCGCCCGUCAA
rnacentral:rRNA from 1 species